UACGAAGGGGGCUAGCGUUGUUCGGAAUCACUGGGCGUAAAGCGCGCGUAGGCGGAUUGUUAAGUCAGGGGUGAAAUCCCGAGGCUCAACCUCGGAACUGCCUUUGAUACUGGCAAUCUUGAGUCCGGGAGAGGUGAGUGGAACUCCUAGUGUAGAGGUGAAAUUCGUAGAUAUUAGGAAGAACACCGGUGGCGAAGGCGGCCAUCUGGCUCGGUACUGACGCUCAGGCGCGAAAGCGUGGGGAGCAAACAGG
rnacentral:rRNA from 1 species